rnacentral:rRNA from 1 species
GACGAACGCUGGCGGCGUGCCUAAUACAUGCAAGUAGAACGCUGAAGGAGGAGCUUGCUCUUCUGGAUGAGUUGCGAACGGGUGAGUAACGCGUAGGUAACCUGCCUGGUAGCGGGGGAUAACUAUUGGAAACGAUAGCUAAUACCGCAUAAGAGUAGAUGUUGCAUGACAUUUGCUUAAAAGGUGCAAUUGCAUCACUACUAGAUGGACCUGCGUUGUAUUAGCUAGUUGGUGGGGUAACGGCUCACCAAGGCGACGAUACAUAGCCGACCUGAGAGGGUGAUCGGCCACACUGGGACUGAGACACGGCCCAGACUCCUACGGGAGGCAGCAGUAGGGAAUCUUCGGCAAUAGACGGAAGUCUGACCGAGCAACGCCGCGUGAGUGAAGAAGGUUUUCGGAUCGUAAAGCUCUGUUGUAAGAGAAGAACGAGUGUGAGAGUGGAAAGUUCACACUGUGACGGUAUCUUACCAGAAAGGGACGGCUAACUACGUG